rnacentral:rRNA from 1 species
UACGGAGGGGGGCUAGUGUUAUUCGUGAUGAUUGGGCGUUAAAGUGUACGUAGGUGGUUUUAAUAGGGCCUAAUGAAAAGCUGAAGCUUCACUUCUUAAACGUUAGAGAACCCAUUAUUACUUGAGUUUAGGGGAGGUUAGCAGUACUUACGAAGGAGGGGUGGAAUCUUUCGAUAUCGGUAGGGACUUGCAUUAGGCGAAGGCAGCUUACCAUCCUAGACUGACGCUGAGGUACGGAAGCGUGGGGAGCGAACGG